UUAAAAUAUAAUGAUUUAAAAAAUUAAAUGAUUAAUAGCUAUGUUCUUUAAAGUUAAAUAUUUUGGCGGUAUUUUAGUCUUUUCAGAGGAAUCUGUCCUAUAAUUGAUAUUCCACAAUUAAAUUUAUUUUAAUUAGUAGUUUAUAUAUCGUUGUAAUUAAAUAUUUUUAAAAAAUAAAAUAUUUGAAACUUUAAAUUAAAGUUAAAAUCAGAUCAAGGUGUAGCUUAUAUUAAAAAAGAGAUGGAUUACAAUAAACUUAUUUUUGAAUUAUAAAGUUUAAAUUUAUAUGAAAUUGGAUUUGAAAGUAAUUAAAUUUAUAUAUUUUUAAUGAUUAAGCUCUAAAAUAUGU
rnacentral:rRNA from 1 species